AUUUAAGGUAAGUCUAUGGCCAUCUGAUCUCAGAAGCUAAGCAGGGUUGGGCCUAGUUAGUACUUGGAUGGUAGACCACCUAGGAAUAUCAGGUACUGUAGGUG
rnacentral:rRNA from 1 species